ACUGUUUUAAAGGAUAUUUGACAAACCAGUAUACACCGCCACUGUGGAAAAGCCUGUGCUGAUGUAAAAGAUGGCGACACAACAAACCGGUUUCAACGUUUCCAAAUAAACCUCAGAGCAAUGAAUCAAAGUGUUACUGAUUCCAGACAUCCUUCUUCACAGACCUGCGGAUGAGAUUACCGUGCUAUUCUAGAAAAAACUCUGAAUUGCUAGAACCUAUUGAUUAGCAGAGAAUUUAUAAUAUGUUGUUAUAAUAUUGUUUUUUAUUGUUAUUAUCUUGACUUAAAAAAAAUUAACUCAGGAAUUUCUAUGUGAUAUUUCAUUAAUCGGCAUCACCAAAUAUGCUACUUUUAUAUAUGAGAGAUAGGUUAAAAAUACACCUGUGUUUUUCUCCAGAUUACUUUUCAUGUGCUUCUGUCACAUUUGCUCUCAAAUGUUUUGUAAACUCUCUGAUCUAAAUCUGCUGUACAAAGUUCCACUGAAGAGCAGCAGCAGAGUUCAGGAGCAGGAUGAAGCUCCGGUGCUUGAGGAGUGACGAUGGAAAGAGAGAAAGGCAGAGUGGGAGAGUAGCUGCUAUACUUUCUGCUUCCUCAACUGAUCAGGGCAUCCUCCCAGUUUUCCUCCCUUAGAAUGCAUAUGAUGGGAAGGAAAAUGCUGCAGUUCUUUUCCCAUACCUUCUUCAACAAACUGCAGCUCUGCAUCUUCCUCCUCUGAAGGUAUGACUUGUGUAUGUGUAGGAAUGUAUACAUGUAUAUAUGUGUAUGCCUCUUCCUCCCUUUUUUUUCCCCCCUCCUUCCCUCUCUGACUGUAGCACUCAACCCGCCCGUCAUCCCCCACACCGCCACCGCCUCCCCCCAAACAUAGAAGCUGAAUCAGCGAGUCAGGCGUGCACCCGGCACACACGAUGGCUGCAGCAGCUGGAGCGCUCUCUAGGUCAUUAUGGCUCUCUUCACUACAGAAGAGGAGGGGAGGAGAAGAGGAGCAGCACGGAUGAAAAAAAAAUGAUUUGACAGGUAAUAUAUACUCUUCUUUGGCUUUUGGACGGAGUUUACCCCUGAUGGGCCUUGACGUCUCCUGUCCCAUCUCUUGCCUCCCUUCUUCUUCGGACGUGUUAGGCGCAUGGUUCGCCUCUAAGCCGCAUAGCCGAGAGAGGGAGUGGAAUGUACUGUUCUGCAGCAGCAGCAGCAUCACCAGGACGCAACUUAACCUGAGAAAGCACCUUUCGGGCUUUUAUCGUCUCCCGCGCUUGCUCCUUUUAUCUUUAAAGAACACAAUAAAUGAAGGCGUUAUAAAAGGAAAAAGUAUGGACAAAGAGAAGAUGCAGGUGGACUUGUAGAAAUAGAAGCUGGGGGAGUUGCUAUGGUCCACAUGGAUUUUAUCCCAGUUUUUUGCACUCUCCACUCUAUCUCCCUCAUCUUGCCCCCCCCACUCCUGCCUCCCUCUGUUGUCUUGCUCGCUCUCGCUCUCUUGUGUUCCUGGCACUGGCCGGACAUGCUGCAGCAGCAGAGCUCUUUGGCUCAUUAGGCUUCAUGGUUGCAGCUCUGCUGCUAUCUAAUGACGGACUUGUUAACUCAGACCUGCACGGGUGCGGAGAGACGAUGCACCCUCUGCAUCUGGCAGCUUUUACAGAUGUCUUGCCUCAAGGAUUCUAUAAUUACAUUCACUUCUGAAGUGUUGUUUGAAUUUCUUUUUGAAUGUUUAUACUUUUUUUUUUUUUUUUUAAACUAAAAACACUGGGUGUGGGUUUGAUCACCGGAGGUAAGUUGCCACACUUUCAGGACCAAGGUGUGCUGAUGGGGGCAGAAGGAUGGGAUGUGGCGACCAGAGAGGCAAAAGAAAGUAUGAGGAGUAAUGAGCAGCGGGCAGGUCAUGAGUCCUGGGGGGGGAGAAAAGCGGAUUGACGGCACACAGCUGUGAGCAGUGUCAUACAGAUGUGCAUGGAGGGAGGGGGACAGGCGACUGAGGAGGGGGUCAAUUUUGGCAGGAAUGGCCGGCUGAGUAAAUGUGUGUCACGGGAUAAACCUAAAGCAGUCGGGGCUGUAACCCAGUUUCCCCACUCCUCCUGCUGUGAGCUAGUCAGGGAAUGCAGGGUACAUGGUACUGCAGCAGACAUAGCAAGCGCCCGGCUAAUUUGCUGGUCUACCCCUGUGCGCGUAGGAAGGAAUUUCACCGCCCCUAUCUCCGUAUGCGCUCACCCUCUCGGGCAGCUGUGACAUUUCCUAAACAGAACGUCACACCUUCCGGACCGGGCUUCUCCACCUUCCCAGCCCUAUCUUUGUGCUGAGAACAGCUGUCACCUCCGCUCACACCUUCUCUCAUUACUAUUCCAAAACCCUUCCACUGCAAAAGCAUUGCACCACUGCUCCUUAAUUCAACUCUCUACCACACAGCCUCUGAACUUUAAAAACUAGGCUCCCUUAACCAACUGCCUUAGUGUUCAGCCUCGUUGUCAGUUUAGUGUGGUGGAAGGCAGCGUCAACUUGUGGAAUGUGCAGGUUUGGGGGUAAAGACUCAUUAGCGCGGCUGCUGAACAGUUCUCGCUGCCAUAUAAAUGCUCAAUGAUUUGCUCUGCAACGUAAGGUCUGGUUCAGGUACAAAGGGAGACUGGUGAAAUUGAGUGAGAAAGCAUAACCAUGUAAUGAUGAUCUAUGAAAUGAGGGGAGAGAGUGGGAGUAGAGGGGUGGGCAAUUUGGCAGGGAGGGGGGUGUACCGAGGACCAAUCCACAAGUGCUGAGUGGGCAUUAGCGGCUUCAUGUGACCUAUGGCCUGCCCGCACGCCUAAAGCCCAAAUCCUGCUCACAAUAGCUUCCUGUUCAACUUGGAUCACUGUCGCUUUCAAACAUCAGCAAGCACUCCAGAAAGCCACAGGGGGGACGCCGCUGACGCUAGUGAGAUAAGGUCCGGCGUUAGAGUUGUGGUGUUAGAGCUCUGGUGCAACAGCAUUGGGACAGAAAAUGGUCUGAAAAUUGGGGCAACAAAACCUCAGCGAAGAAGUCAGAUUCGCAUGCAAGUGGGCGGAGAGAAGCGGAAACGUUCAGUCCAUCAGCGGGACUCUUCAUAUAUAGGCACAUCGACGCUGCUGCCAGGAAACAUCAAACAAUGGAAACUCCUACUCAUAAUUCAUGAACAUUUUUCUUCUUUUUUUUGUCUCUUUUGUCUCUUCAAGAAUUCCCGCCCGUAAAAUACUGCAACUGCUCUUCUCUCAAACUUGCAGACCAGUCACAGCUGCCUUGAGGACAAGCAUUGGGAUUUGUCGGGACGGUUGACUAUGGUAUGGACUGCAAAGUUUCUGUUGCAUUCAGGGGCGGGGGGACAGACUGCUCAGCCUUACAUGGCAACCAAAGGAAAGCCUUGAGUGUUGAAGUGAAUCUACACUCAAAGUCACCUUACAGUGCACACUACCAUACUUGGGAGAGUGGAACAGUGGGAGAAAAAAAAAAAAAAAACGUUCUGCUCCCAACUUCCUGACCUUGGCAAUAAAAAAGGUACACUCUGAAACAAUGCUUUGCUAAAGCUGGUAAAAUGGAACCAAAUCACCUCUUGAAUGGAUUUGGUCCCCUUCAACCAGCUGUAGCUAUGCUUUGAUGACUACAGGAGCCAGGAUUGGGUUUGACACCUUCAACAGUGUAAGAACAGCACUAUUAUCAUCUGGUAUGUUUGGUGACUGUAACAUCUGUCCCUUUUUUUUAUAAUAAUAAAAAAACACUGAUCCACAUGCAAAA